CGCCCCCUAUACGUCAUCAUUGAGUAAACUUUGACCCGGAACCUCACAGUCAGCAGACAGAUUCCUGGGAGGGAGGGUCUGCUGCUGAUUGGGUGGAAUGUGUCUGCUGGCUGUGAGGUUCCGGGUCAAAGUUUACUCAAUGAUGACGUAUAGGGGGCG
rnacentral:miRNA from 1 species